GGCAGAUGCGAUGCAGUUGGCCGCAAUGGCGAUAUAGAAUGGUGAGGCAGCGGCAUAACGCGCAUAAUAACGCGCGCUCGAGGCCUUCGUAAAAUGAGAUACGACGGUGAGGCAACGAAGCGUAGGAAGGAGGCAGCAGGGAAUCGGGAGAAAGAGAGACAGACAGGAACGGAUAGAGGGCGGGGAGGGUGCCUAUCACUCGGAGAGAUCCAAUACAAUGCGAACUAUUGUACCCACGUUCGCCAUCCACUCCAAUUCCUAGGCUGGAGAUAUGCAGCUAGCUCGAUCCUGCACUUGCCGCGCGCCCUCUCUACAUGUGUUGGAACGUUACACACAUACCCGACCCUCUCUAAGUCUAUGUCGCCACUUCCGUAAGGAUACGAACGAGUUCAAUAUGGAACGAAUGAACAGAUUACAUUGACAUUGUACCUCUGGCAAAUGACGUGUUUCGUUCAAAUUCAAGUUCUUCCAUUCUUCGCCAGAAAUUGUUCGUUUCAAAAAUCUAGAGAGAAUUGAGAACAUCGAGAUAAAGAAUCGAACGGACCUUAACGUCUCUCUCGUAAGAUAAAUCCAUGGUAUGCGCAAUACUGGAAUUGAAGUAGCCUUAAAAUUAUAUAGCGCAAAGACACGGGUAUACGAUACGAUUCCCUUCAUCGAUAACACGAUCGAAUCGAUAAUCAGGAAACGAAUUAACAUCAAUUAGAACGAACUUUACAAGUUUAACCGAAUCGAUAGGAGCCACUCCUUGAGCUGAAGUACAUCAUUCUCUGGCGAACGUACAAAUCGCGCGAUACGACCGUUUUCCAAUCAGUGUAAUCGGUUUAAUCAUUUACGCGGCGCUGUACUACACUCUACUUAAUUCUAUGCGAGUCCUUCAAGUCCAACCAUGGCACGGCGGCUGUCUACCGCCCCUAAUUCAACGUAUAAAUCUCUCUCACCUGUUAUUUAUUAUUUUCAUGAAUAUGCAUUUCUUUCACCGCCUGCUAAUGGACCCCUGAGGCCAUGGCGUGUUAGAAGUGUUGCGCGCAACAGCGUGCAGUUAAACGGAUUUGAUUAAUCGAAAAACUUGAUCGAAUCCCUCUUUCU